AUCUACUUUGACCGAAAUCAUCAUCUUUGGUUGCAAACUUCCAGUUUCCACCAACUUUGACCAAAAACAUCAACUUUGGUCGCAAACCUCGAGUUUCCACCAACUUUGACCAAAAACAUCUACUUUGACCGAAAUCAUCAUCUUUGGUUGCAAACUUCCAGUUUCCACCAACUUUGACCAAAAACAUCAACUUUGACCGAAAUCAUCAUCUUUGGUUGCAAAUUUCCAGUUUCCACUAACUUUGACCAAAAACAUCAACUUUGACCGAAAUCAUCAUCUUUGGUCGCUAAACUCGAGUUUCCACCAACUUUGACCAAAAACAUCAACUUUGACCGAAAUCAUCAUCUUUGGUUGCAAACUUCCAGUUUCCACCAACUUUGACCAAAAACAUCAACUUUGACCGAAAACAUAAACUUUGGUUGCAAACUUCCAGUUUCCAAAAACUUUGACCAAAAACAUCAACUUUGACCGAAAUCAUCAUCUUUGGUUGCAAACUUCCAGUUUCCACCAACUUUGACCAAAAACAUCUACUUUGACCGAAAUCAUCAUCUUUGAUUGCAAACUUCCAGUUUCCACCAACUUUGACCAAAAACAUCUACUUUGACCGAAAUCAUCAUUUUUGGUUGCAAACUUCCAGUUUUCACCAACUUUGACAAAAAACAUCUACUUUGACCGAAAUCAUCAUCUUUGGUUGCAAACUUCCAGUUUCCACCAACUUUGACCAAAAACAUCAACUUUGACCGAAAUCAUCAUCUUUGGUUGCAAACUUCCAGUUUCCACCAACUUUGACCAAAAACAUCAACUUUGACCGAAAACAUCAUCUUUGGUUGCAAACUUCCAGUUUCCACCAACUUUGACCAAAAACAUCUACUUUGACCGAAAUCAUCAUCUUUGGUUGCAAACUUCCAGUUUCCACCAACUUUGACCAAAAACAUCUACUUUGACCGAAAUCAUCAACUUUGGUCGCAAACUUCCAGUUUCCACCAACUUUGACCAAAAACAUCAACUUUGACCGAAAACAUCAACUUUGGUCGCAAACCUCGAGUUUCCACCAACUUUGACCAAAAACAUCAACUUUGACCGAAAUCAUCAUCUUUGGUUGCAAACUUCCAGUUUCCACCAACUUUGACCAAAAACAUCUACUUUUACCGAAAUCAUCAUCUUUGGUUGCAAACUUCCAGUUUCCACCAACUUUGACCAAAAACAUCUACUUUGACCGAAAUCAUCUACUUUGACCGAAAUCAUCAACUUUGGUUGCAAACCUCGAGUUUCCACCAACUUUGACCAAAAACAUCAACUUUAGUCGCAAACCUCAAGUUUCCACCAACUUUGACCAAAAACAUCAACUUUAGUCGCAAACCUCGAGUUUCCACCAACUUUGACCAAAAACAUCAACUUUGACCGAAAUCAUCAUCUUUGGUUGCAAACUUCCAGUUUCCACCAACUUUGACCAAAAACAUCAACUUUGACCGAAACCAUCAUCUUUGGUUGCAAACUUCCAGUUUCC